rnacentral:rRNA from 1 species
AGUGGCGGACGGGUGAGUAUCGCGUAGGAAUGUAUCCUGAGGUGGGGGACAACCCUGGGAAACUGGGGCUAAUACCGCAUAUGGACUGAGGUCCAAAGCCUUUGGGCGCCUUGGGAGCAGCCUGCGUCCGAUUAGGUAGUUGGUGGGGUAAAGGCCUACCAAGCCUGCGAUCGGUAGCUGGUCUGAGAGGACGAUCAGCCACACUGGGACUGAGACACGGCCCAGACUCCUACGGGAGGCAGCAGUGGGGAAUAUUGGACAAUGGGCGCAAGCCUGAUCCAGCAAUGCCGCGUGGGUGAAGAAGGUCUUCGGAUUGUAAAGCCCUUUCGACGGGGACGAUGAUGACGGUACCCGUAGAAGAAGCCCCGGCUAACUUCGUGCCAGCAGCCGCGGUAAUACGAAGGGGGCUAGCGUUGCUCGGAAUUACUGGGCGUAAAGGGCGCGUAGGCGGCACUGUUAGUCAGGCGUGAAAUUCCUGGGCUCAACCUGGGGACUGCGCUUGAUACGGCAGAGCUAGAGGAUGGAAGAGGCUCGCGGAAUUCCCAGUGUAGAGGUGAAAUUCGUAGAUAUUGGGAAGAACCCCGGUGGCGAAGGCGGCGAGCUGGUCCAUUACUGACGCUGAGGCGCGACAGCGUGGGGAGCAAAC